rnacentral:lncRNA from 1 species
CAAUACUGAACCUUGUGGUACUGUUAUGGUCUAUUUUCACGCAAAAGCCGACUGCAAUUUGCAGCCGUAUGUCAGUCAAUAUUUAUAAACUUGCUGUGAUCAGCUACCGUACUACAAGAAAAUAUGAAAAUAAAUAACUCUGAAUUGGUCACUACUAGUUAGACAACCAACAGUACCCUUGAUAACACAGCAUAAUUAUCAAACAGUAUUUUGGGUGGCAUAGUCACUAUCACAAGGGUCUGUCAUUGACACCGACGCGAAAGGUUUUACUUUUUGGUUGGAGGUCAGGAAGUCAAGUUCACGUGCCAAUGUGAGGAAAAUUAGGGGUUUUCCUUUGAACGUUUGGAAGGAAUAGCGUGAGGGGUCGGAUAGUUGUGGAAUUGAUGUCUGGUGGGUUUUGGUUUUGUUUGUCAAUCGGCCGAUGUAACGGACUUUUGCUGAGCGGAAGCAAGGGUUAGAAGCGUGUUUUCUAUGCCGGUGUGCUAGGGAAAUUUUAUAUUUUCCCGGAUAAUCACAGCCCUCUUUGAGGGUGCAAGUGUGAGGUCCUAGGUAUACCUACCCAAAUAUAUUAGUCUUCGCAUGGCAUAGGGUUCUGCCUAAGGUGAAGUCACAAUGAUUAGAUACCAAGCUUAACAACUGAAGUUUGGCUAUGUAAGUAAGGGAAAGCAGAAAUCGAAAGGUAGGAGGAUUUUUUUUUUUUUACUUUGGAGUAUUGGGGUUUCAACGCAGAAAAUUCUACACAGUGAUUAUGUUAAUAUCGUGCGGUUAAGUGGACUGAAACAUUAUCACUUUUCGUUAAUUUUAAUGUUGUUCAUACUUUAAUAACAUUUUCUAUUUUGUUUUUCCUUUUCUUUUUUUUUUAUAUAAAUUCUAAUAUCAAUGUGAGCCUAUAUAGAUCUAUAAGGAGCUUAAUACCGUAACAUGUAUGAAAACAACCUUGGUUACAUUUAAAUAUUUAAUAAUAUUAACUUAAAUAAUUAUGUAUUAUAAAAUGUUUUUUUCAUGA